rnacentral:rRNA from 1 species
UUGACCUCAAAUCAGGUAGGACUACCCGCUGAACUUAAGCAUAUCAAUAAGCGGAGGAAAAGAAACUAACAAGGAUUCCCCUAGUAACUGCGAGUGAAGAGGGAAAAGCUCAAAUUUAAAAUCUGGCUGUUCUAGUUAGCAGUCCGAGUUGUAGUUUAGAGAAGUGCUAUCCGCGCUGGCCUGUGCAUAAGUUUCUUGGAAAAGAACAUCAUAGAGGGUGACAAUCCCGUCUUUGGCACAGAUCACCAGGGCUUUUGUGAUGCGCUCUCGACGAGUCGUGUUGUUUGGGAAUGCAGCACUAAAUGGGUGGUAAAUUCCAUCUAAAGCUAAAUAUUGGCGAGAGACCGAUAGCGAACAAGUACCGUGAGGGAAAGAUGAAAAGAACUUUGAAAAGAGAGUUAAACAGUACGUGAAAUUGUUGAAAGGGAAACGCUUGAAGUCAGUCGUGUCCUGCAGGGAUCAAGUUGCCCUUUGGGGUGAUCGCAUUUCCUGCUGGAUGGGUCGGCAUCAAUUUUGACCGCUGGAUAAAGGCUUAGGGAAUGUGGCAUCUUCGGAUGUGUUAUAGACCUGGGUUGUAUACAGUGGUUGGGAUUGAGGAACUCAGUGUGCCUU